rnacentral:rRNA from 1 species
CCUACGGGAGGCAGCAGUGAGGAAUAUUGGUCAAUGGGCGGGAGCCUGAACCAGCCAAGCCGCGUGAAGGAAGAAGGCGCCAGGCGUCGUAAACUUCUUUUGUCGGGGAACAAAGGGCGCCACGCGUGGCGUUGUGAGUGUACCCGAAGAAAAAGCAUCGGCUAACUCCGUUCCAGCAGCCGCGGUAAUACGGGGGAUGCGAGCGUUAUCCGGAUUGAUUGGGUUUAAAGGGUGCGCAGGCGGAGGUGCAAGUCAGCGGUCAAAUGGCGGGGCUCAACCCCGUACUGCCGUUGAAACUGCAUCCCUUGAGUGCGCGAGAAGUAUGCGGAAUGCGUGGUGUAGCGGUGAAAUGCAUAGAUAUCACGCAGAACUCCGAUGGCGAAGGCAGCAUACCGGCGCGCAACUGACGCUCAUGCACGAAAGCGUGGGUAUCGAACAGGAUUAGAUACCCGAGUAGUC